AGGAUGAACGCUAGCGGCAGGCCUAAUACAUGCAAGUCGAGGGGCAGCGGGAGUAGCAAUACUUGCCGGCGACCGGCGCACGGGUGCGUAACGCGUAUGCAAUCUACCUUUAACCGGGGGAUAGCCCGGAGAAAUCCGGAUUAAUACCCCAUAACAAAUUGAGUGGCAUCACUUGAUUUUAAAAAUUCCAAUGGUUAAAGAUGAGCAUGCGUAUGAUUAGCUAGUUGGAGAGGUAACGGCUCACCAAGGCAACGAUCAUUAGGGGUACUGAGAGGUUACACCCCCACACUGGAACUGAGACACGGUCCAGACUCCUACGGGAGGCAGCAGUAAGGAAUAUUGGUCAAUGGAGGCAACUCUGAACCAGCCAUGCCGCGUGCAGGAAGAAGGCGCUACGCGUUGUAAACUGCUUUUGUACGGGAGAAAACUUUUGCUCGUGAGCAGAACUGAUAGUACCGUAAGAAUAAGCAUCGGCUAACUUCGUGCCAGCAGCCGCGGUAAGACGAAGGAUGCAAGCGUUAUCCGGAUUCAUUGGGUUUAAAGGGUGCGUAGGCGGCCCUGUAAGUCAGUGGUGAAGUCCCUCCGCUUAACGGAGGAACUGCCAUUGAUACUGCAGGGCUUGAGUACAGAUGAUGUUGGCGGAAUAUGACAUGUAGCGGUGAAAUGCAUAGAUAUGUCAUAGAACACCGAUUGCGAAGGCAGCUCACAAGCUGUAACUGACACUGAGGCUCGAAAGUGCGGGGAUCAAACAGAUUAGAUACCCUGGUAGUCCGCACCGUAAACGAUGAUUACUCGCUGCUAGAGGGCAACUUUUAGUGGCUUAGCGAAAGCGAUAAGUAAUCCACCUGGGGAGUACGCCGGCACGGUGAAACUCAAGGAAUUGACGGGG
rnacentral:rRNA from 1 species